AGGAAUCUGCCUGGUAGUGGGGGACAACGUUUCGAAAGGAACGCUAAUACCGCAUACGUCCUACGGGAGAAAGCAGGGGACCUUCGGGCCUUGCGCUAUCAGAUGAGCCUAGGUCGGAUUAGCUAGUUGGUGGGGUAAUGGCUCACCAAGGCGACGAUCCGUAACUGGUCUGAGAGGAUGAUCAGUCACACUGGAACUGAGACACGGUCCAGACUCCUACGGGAGGCAGCAGUGGGGAAUAUUGGACAAUGGGCGAAAGCCUGAUCCAGCCAUGCCGCGUGUGUGAAGAAGGUCUUCGGAUUGUAAAGCACUUUAAGUUGGGAGGAAGGGCAGUAAGCGAAUACCUUGCUGUUUUGACGUUACCGACAGAAUAAGCACCGGCUAACUCUGUGCCAGCAGCCGCGGUAAUACAGAGGGUGCAAGCGUUAAUCGGAAUUACUGGGCGUAAAGCGCGCGUAGGUGGUUUGUUAAGUUGGAUGUGAAAGCCCCGGGCUCAACCUGGGAACUGCAUCCAAAACUGGCAAGCUAGAGUACAGUAGAGGGUGGUGGAAUUUCCUGU
rnacentral:rRNA from 1 species